rnacentral:rRNA from 1 species
AACGAGUUGCGAGUCGGUGACGGCGAGCUAAUCUACUUAAAGCCAAUCUCAGUUCGGAUUGUAGGCUGCAACUCGCCUACAUGAAGUCGGAAUCGCUAGUAAUCGGCGGAUCAGCACGCCGCGGUGAAUACGUUCCCGGGCCUU